AGUUCAGGUCUCCCCUUUUGCUGUGGUGGGUUUAAGAACCGUUGGCGUGCUCCUCGGUGACCUCCCUGUAAUCGGGGUCUGGCUCAUGUCCCCAUGGCUGGUGGGGUGAAGGGCUCGCUUACUAGGCUGGAUGCCAGUGACCUGCCUGUAACUUUGGGUUUGGGUCUUUCCCCUUUCGGCUUUCUCGGCACUGUGGUGCUCCAGCAAGGCAGUCAGGAAGACCGCUCGCUUCACAAGAGUUCAGGUCUUGAUUUUCAUUCACAGAGGAUGUUGAGCCCUUAAGUACCUUGAGACCGAGUGACCGCCCUGUAACCAGGGUUCUUGUCUCUCCCCUUGUGAGCUGUAAGUGGGAAACCGUGCUGUCGGGCUAGUCGGCCUGAGCGCCCUGUAAGUAGGGUUCUGGUCUCAUUCCUCUCACCUGUGGCAUGAGCAGGGUGACCUUUUUUUGCCUUUUUAAUAUGCUGGGCCCCAUAGCCUUUCCCAGUUUGCUCUUUUUCUGCUUUGGGAAGUGCUGUGUCAUCUGGUAUAUCUGUGCUGGAGAGCGAAUGUGAUGUGUGUGGGUGUGGAAGGUCUUUAGUUAUUAUUUAUUUGUAAAUUGCUGCAGCUUUUUUGUUUUUUUUUGGUUGGUUUGAAUGAGCUCUUCCCAGAACUAGAAAAAGAACUGUUGGUUUUUAUACCCCCCAUUUACCUGUAUAGUGGCACGAUUGAUGGUUUGGGUCUCAUACCUUAAGGCUGAAAAGGUGUUUGGGCCCCUUGCUUAAGUUCCUCUAGACCGUGUGAUCUCCCUGCAUCGUCCCCCUCUCCCUUCUGGGGGAAUGAUGGACUUCCAAGAACCUUAGGUCUGAGGGACCUCCCUGUAACCAAGGUUGAGGUCUCUUGGUAUUUAUGCUCUAUUAAGCCAGCCGGUGAGCAUGGCCACCCUGUAAACACAAGCCCUGGUCACGUCCAUGGUUCUCGGUGGAAAGGGAGAUUAGAGCUUUUUAAUACCUUGGGCAUAUGAGCUCCCUGUAAUUUGGCUUCAGGUCUCUUUUUCCCUUUGGUACGUUAGCUACCUUGUUUAGCCAUUUCCCCGCCCCUCUUCCCCCACCCUGUCUCGAGGGUUUGGGACUCAUCCCUGACCCUCCCAGCUCUUUUUUAGUACCUUGGCCUUGAGUGGCCGCCCUGUAAUUAGGUGGCAGGUCCCAUCCCUUGCUUACGGCGGGGGGGGUGUUAGUGAACUGUUUGGGGACCUAGAGCAGCAAGACCUGCCUGCAACUACAGUUCAGAGGUGUCUCCUUCUUGCAUUCUCGUGACUCUUCUCCUUUUUGGCUUCUGAGUCAGAGUGGCCGUCCUGUAAGAAGGGUGCAGGUCACGUGAGUGGGGAUCGGGAACCAGUGGCAGCUAGAGCAGCGAGACUGCCCUGUAACCACGGUUCAGAUCGUUCCUCUUUUUUUCCCUUGGGCUUGUGAACCCUUGACAGGCUGCUCGGUGUGACCUCCCUGACUUCUUUCUCGUUUAUGUGGGAUUAGGGGGCCGUCUUGGUCCCCUGAGAGCUCCCUGUAACUUAGGGUUUUGGUCUCUAGUCAUUAUGCUGCUCUUGCAGGCUGGCCAGAGUGACCAUUCUGUAAUUGGGGCUCAGGUCACAUCCCUCUCGCUUAUGGGGGGAAUUCAGGUCUUAAUCGCGCAGGUCUUUGGGACCUCCCUGUAAUCAGGGUUGUGGUCCUUCUUCUCUUUUUGUUCUUGUGGGAUUAUGACCCUUUAGGCUUAGGGGAGGGACCUCCUCCACAGUUAGGGUGCAAGUCACAUUGGCCCCUUUGACGCUCCAGGCACAGUCCUGGCCCUCUGGAGUGGGUUUCAAGCUCGCCCUGGGUUCUGCAGUGACACCUCCUGGGUUCUGCCUCGCUUUUGAUCAUCAGAGUCCGGAGAGUCUGCAACAACUGCUGGCGAAUUCAAGUGAGGAAGCUGGAAACCUGGCUCCACAGUAGGGCAUCAGUUGAGUCUUUGGCACUUUGGGAGAGUUGGAGGCCUGGGCGUCGAGUGUGCCAUCAAAGCGCAUGAUGGGGACAGCUCAGAAUUCCCUGCCAGCUAUAGGUCGAAGGCUGCAUGUAGAGGCAAGAAGACAAGCAUGUGAGGAAGAAAAUGGGAAGGAGGAAAGAAAAGAUGAUGCAGAAGAUGGAAGAGGAGGAGAAAAUACACACCGGGCACAAUGACUGUCCUGUAACUAGGGUGGAAGUCGCUCUCUCUCCGCCCCCCCCCCCCCCCCCCCAACCCCACAAAGAAGAGGGCCAGCCUGAACCCGGUAGUACCUUGAGCACCGAGACCUCCUUAUAACUAGGGUGCAGGUCUCUUUCCCCCUCGGCUCCGUUAGCUGGCUGGGGAGAGUGACCACCCUGUAAGAAGGGUGCAGGUGACACCCCUGUGUCUCAGUGAUGUCAUCGAGCUCUUUAAUCCCCAUGGGCAAUGUAGCCUCCCUGUAAGUAGAGUUCAGGUGUCCCCUUUUGCUGUGGUGGGUUUAAGAACCGUUGGCAUGCUACUCGGUGACUUCCCUGUAAUCAGGGUCAGGCUCACGUCCCUGUGGUUGGUGGGGUUUAGGGCUCGCUUACUAGGCUGGACGCCAGUGACCUGCCUGUAACUUUGGGUUUUGGUCUUUCCCCUUUUGGCUUUCUUGGCACUGUGGUGCUCCAGGCAGUCAGGAAGACUGCUCACUUCACAAGAGUUCAUUCACAGAGGAUAUUGAGCCCUUAAGUACCUUGAGACCAAGACUGCCCUGUAAGUGGGGAAACCGUGCUGUCUGGCUAGUUGGCCUGAGCGCCCAGUAAGUAGGGUUCUGGUCUCAUUUCUCUCUCCUGUGGCAUGAGCAGGGUGACCUUUUGUUGCCUUUUUAAUAUGCUGGGCCCAUAACCUUUCCCAGUUUGCUCUUUUUCUGCUUUGGGAAGUGCUGUGUCAUCGGGUAUGUCUGUGCUGGAGAGCGAAUGUGAUGUGCGUGGGGUGAAAGGUCUUUGGUUAUUUUAUUUUAUUUAUUUUUUGUAAAUCGCUGCAGCUUUUGUUUUUUGUAUUUUGGUUUGUUUGGUUUGAAUGAGCUCUUCCCAGAACUAGAAAAAACUUUGGUUUUUUUAUGCCCCCCAUUUACCUGUAUAGUGGCACGAUUGAUGGUUUGGGUCUCGUGCCUUAAGGCUGAAAAAGCAUUUGGGCCCCUUGCUUAAGUUCCUCUAGACCGUGUGAUCUCCCUGCAUCACGUCCCUCUCCCUUCUGGGGGAAUGUUGGACUUCCAAGAACCUUAGGUCUGAGGGACCUCCCUGUAACCAAGGUUGAGGUCUCUUGGUAUUUAUGCUCCAUUAAGCCAGCCGGUGAGAGUGGCAACCCUGUAAAGACGAGCCCUGGUCACGUCCUUGUGCCUUGGUAGAAGGGGAGAUUAGAGAUUUCUAAUACCUUUGGGGAUAUGACCUCCCUGUAAUUUGGCUUCAGGUCUCUCUUCUCCCCCCCCCCCCCCCCCCCCCCCGGCCUUUGGUACGUUAGCCACCUUGUUUUAAGAUUCUCUCUUCUCUCUUCCCCCCCCCCCCCCCUCCAGUCUCGAGGGUUCGGGUCUUGUCCCUGGUCCUCCCGGCUCUUUUUAGUACCUUGGCCUUGAGUGGCCUCCCCGUAAUUAGGUGGCAGGUCCCAUCCCUUGCUUGCGGGGGGUUAGUGAACCCUUUGGGGACCAAGAGCAGCGAGACCUGCCUGCAACUGCAGUUGAGGGGUGUCUCCUUGCUUUCUCGUGAUUCUUCUUUUUAGCUUCUGAGUCAGAGUGACUGUCCUGUAGGAAGGGUGCAGGUCACAUGAGUGGGCAUCGGGAGCUGGCGCUAGCUAGAGCAGCGAGACCACCCUGUAACUAUGGUUCAGAUCGUUUUCCUCUUUUUCUCUUGGGUUUAUGAAUCCUUGACAGGCUGCUCGGUGUGACCUCCCUCUAAGCAGGGUUUACAUCACUACUUUUUUGUUUGUGGGAUUAGGGGGCUAUCUUGGUCCCCUGAGAGCUCCCUGUAACUUAGGGUUUUGGUCUCUAGUCAUUAUGCUGCUCUUGCAGGCUGGCCAGAGUGACCAUUCUGUAACUGGGGCUCAGGUCACGUCCCUCUUGCUCAUGGGGUGGGGGGAUUCAGGUCUUAAUUGUGUGGGACUUUGGGACUUCCCUGUAAUUGGGGUUGUGGUCCUUCUCUUUUUGCUCUUGUGGGAUUAUGGCCCUUUAGGCUAAGCAGAGGGACCUCCUCUAUAGUUAGGAUGCGAGUCACGUCAGCCCCUUUGCUGCUGCUGAUACGCACUCCAGAGGGCCAGGACGGUGUCCAGCUCGCCCUGGGUUCUACAGCGACGCCUCCUGGGUUCUGCCUCUCUUGAUCGUCUGAGUCCAGAGAGUCUGCAACAACUGCUGGCGAAUUCAAGUGAGGAAGCUGGAAACCUGGCUCCACAGUAGGGCAUCAGUUGAGUCUUUGGCACUUUGGGAGAGUAGGAGGCCUGGGCGUCGAGUGUGCCAUCAAAGCGCAUGAUGGGGACAGCUCAGAAUUCCCUGCCAGCUAUAGGUCGAAGGCUGCAUGUAGAGGCAAGAAGACAAGCAUGUGAGGAAGAAAAUGGGAAGGAGGAAAGAAAAGAUGAUGCAGAAGAUGGAAGAGGAGGAGAAAAUACACACCGGGCACAAUGACUGUCCUGUAACUAGGGUGGAAUUCCCUCUUCUUUGUGUGUGUGUGGAGGGGUGGGGGUGGGGGGAGAGCACCAACCUGAACCCGGUAGUACCUUGAGCAGUGAGACCUCCUUAUAACUAGGGUGCAGGUCUCUUUCCCCCUCGGCUCUGUUAGCCAGCUGGGGAGAGUGACCACCCUGUAAGAAGGGUGCAGGUGACACCCCUGUGACUCAGUGAGGAGGUCAAGCUCUUUAAUCCCCAAGGUCAGUGUAACCUCCCUGCAAGUAGAGUUCAGGUCUCCCCUUUUGCUGUGGUGGGUUUAAGAACCGUUGGCAUGCUACUCGGUGACCUCCCUGUAAUCGGGGUCUGGCUCACGUCCCCAUGGCUGGUGGGGUUUAGGGCUCGCUUACUAGGCUGGAUGCCAGUGACCUGCCUGUAACUUUGGGUUUUGAUCUUUCCUCUUUUGGCUUUCUUGGCACUGUGGUGCUCCAGCAAGACAGUCAGGAAGACCGCUCGCUUCACAAGAGUUCAGGUCUUGAUUUUCAUUCACAGAGGAUAUUGAGCCCUUAAGUAUCUUGAGACUGAGUGACCGCCCUGUAAGUAGGGUUCUGGUCUCUCAGCAUGUGAGUUCCAGGUGCUAAACCCUGCUGGCUGGCUAGUCAGCGUGGCCCACCCUGUAACUAGGGUCCAGGUCUGUUCCCUUACACCCUGCUGUUUGACAAGUCAGACCACCUGGAACUAGGGUUCAGGUCUCUUCCUUUCUUUCAUCUAGGUGAUAGACGUUUAUGGCUGGUGAACUGGUAUGACUGCCCUGCAACAAGGGUUCAGGUUGCUCCCCUCCUUUUACUUUAGGUCAUAGACACUUAUGGCUGGCUGGUUGGUGUGACAGCCCUAGAACUCCAUAUCUCUCCCCUUUUAAAACCCAAGUAAUGUAGAAUUAUGGCUGGCUAGUCAGCAUGGCCCACCUUGUAUCUAGGGUUGUAUCUCUCCCCUUAUGAGCUGUAAGUGGUAAACCAUGCUGUCUGGCUAGUCGGCCUGAGCGCCCUGUAAGUAGGGUUUUGAUCUCAUUCCUCUGGCAUGAGCAGGGUGACCUUUUGUGCCUUUUUUAAUACGCUGGGCCCAUAACCUUUCCCAGUUUGCUCCUUUUCUGCUUUGGGAAGUGCUGUGUCAUCUGGUAUGUCUGUGCUGGAGAGCGAACGUGAUGUGCAUGGGUGUGGAAGGUCUUUGGUGGUUAUUUAUUUGUAAAUCGCUGCAGCUUUUUUUUUUGUAUUUUGGUUUGAAUGAGCUCUUCCCAGAACUAGAAAAAGAACUGCUGGUUUUUUAUGCCCCCCCAUUUACCUGGUAUAGUGGCACAAUUGAUGGUUUUGGUCUUGUGCCUUAAGGCUGAAAAGGCAUUUGAGCCCCUUGCUUAAGUUUCUCUAGACCAUGGGCUCUCCCUGCAUCAUCCCCCUCUCCUUUUUGGGGGAAUGAUGGACUUCCAAGAACCUUAGGUCUGAGGGACCUCCUUGUAACCAAGGUUGAGGUCUCUUGGUAUUUAUGCUCCGUUAAGGCAGCCGGUGAGCGUGGCCACCCUAUAAAGACAAGCCCUGGUCACAUCCAUGGUUCUCGGUGGAAAGGGAGAUUAGAGCUUUUUAAUACCUUGGGGAUAUGAGCUCCCUGUAAUUUGGCUUCAGGUCUUUUUUUUCCUUUGGUACCUUAACCACCUUGUUUAGCGAUUUUUUUUUUUCUCCCCCCCCCUCUUCCCCCCCCCCCCCCCCCCCCCCGGUCUCGAGGGUUUGGGUCUUGUCCCUGGCCCUCCCGGCUCUUUUUAGUAACUUGGCCUUGAGUGGCCGCCCUGUAAUUAGGUGGCAGGUCCCAUCCCUUGCUUACCGGGGGUUAGUGAACCGUUUGGGGACCUAGAGCAGCAAGACCUGCCUGCAACUGCAGUUCAGAGGUGUCUCCUUCUUGCUUUCUCGUGACUCUUCUCCUUUUUGGCUUCUGAGUCAGAGUGGCCGUCCUGUAAGAAGGGUGCAGGUCACGUGAGUGGGGGAUCGGGAGCCAGUGGCAGCUAGAGCAGCGAGUCCACCCUGUAACCACAGUUCAGAUGGUUCCCCUCUUUUUCUCUUGGGCUUAUGAACCCUUGACAGGCUGCUCGGUGUGACCUCUCUGACUUUUCUCGUUUAUGUGGGAUUAGGGGGCCAUCUUGGUCCCCUGAGAGCUCCCUGUAACUUAGGGUUUUGGUCUCUAGUCAUUAUGCUGCUCUUGCAGGCUGGCCAGAGUGACUAUUCUGUAACUGGGGCUCAGGUCACGUCCCUCUCGCUUAUGGGGGGAAUUCAGGUCUUAAUCGCGCAGGUCUUUGGGACCUCCCUGUAAUCAGGGUUGUGUCCUUCUCUUUUUGUUCUUGUGGGAUUAUGGCCCUUUAGGCUUAGGGGAGGGACCUCCUCCACAGUUAGGGUGAGAGUCACAUUGGCCCCUUUGACACUCCAGGCACAGUCCUGGCCCUCUGGAGUGGGUUUCAAGCUCGCCCUGGGCUCUGCAGCGACACCUCCUGGGUUCUGCCUCGCUUUUGAUCGUCAGAGUCCAGGGAGUCUGCAACAACUGUUGGCGAAUGUAAGGGCACAAACCAAGUUCCCCCGGUUCGCUUCAGAGAAGCGAGGGCUCGAAGGAACCAAUUUGGCAACUGCAGCGUUACAUUUCUGGUAUGCACGUCUGCUCUCCGUAAACUCAAGUAGGUUUUACAUGUUAAUAGUUUGGCUCUACUGGAAGGCUGAAGAGCUACUUACUUUAAAGAGUGAAUAAAUGUUUAAUUAUAAUUAGGGUCAUAUGAGGAGAGAAUUGUAGUGGCAAGCAGUGAAUUGCAUCUGUGAAACAGUGUGGGGUCGUGAGUGAAUGAACGUUUUUGGUAAGGAGGUGUGAAUUUGUUCUUAAAAGUAUGGAAGUUAAGUUUGCGUGCAUGGUGAGAUCGCUGCUUUCCUAUCCCGUAACAAGAACAGCGGUAGGAAUACAUUAAUAGUGUAACCUUUCCUCUUAGGGAGACCGACUAUUCAAAUGGCUGGCCACGGUCUGGAAUUUUUAAAAAGCUUACAGCGCUCUUAGGUCCGAACGGUAACUCCGAGAUGCAGUUUCUCUUAGGUUUCAGAGUAACAGCCAUGUUAGUCUGUAUUCGCAAAAAGAAAAGGAGGACUUGUGGCACCUUAGACUAACCAAUUUAUUUGAGCCUGAGCUUUCAGCUGUAGCUCACGAAAGCUCAUGCUCAAAUAAAUUGGUUAGUCUCUAAAGGUGCCACAAGUACUCCUUUUAGUUUCUCUUAGCUUAAUGUUCAAAGUCAAAAAGGAUCAGGAGCCAGAAGGGCUCUCAUAGUUGGUAGCAUGUCUCCCUCAAACCCUGAAGCAGUGUGAGUUCAGGCCCCUCUUUUGUCCUCCCUCAUACUAGGCUUUUAACAGCCAGGAAAUUGAGGUUCUACUGUACUUCUCUGUUAUCACCAGAGUUACGAACAUCUUGGGAAUGGAGGUUAGCGGAACUGUGGUCAAAACGUUACGGCGGUUGUUUCAAAGGUGUACAAGUGAACAUUGACACAUUUGAAACUCUACUCUGCUGACGAAAAAUGCUGCUUUCCCUUUAUAGCACUGUGUUGAACCGACUACUUUUUAAAAGGAAUUUUUUUUUGCGGUGGGGUGUGUCUGCUGCUGCCCGAUUGCGUACCUCUGGCUUCCAGUGAGGUGUGUCGUUGACCAGUCAGUUUGUCACUCCAGAAGCUUGGAGUUAUGAGCACCACUGUAUUGAAAAUUUGGUUACGAGUGGGGAAAAGAAUGAGUUUGGUUAAAGCACCCCAAAAAAGGUCUAAAUCUAUGGCUCCGUUUACCUGUGUGUGUAAAGGAGGCCAAUGUUAGAAGACAUAUGUACCCAAAUUUAAGUACAUAAGCAGAAAGAAAUGUGAGGAACAAAAGGUGCGACGUGGUCUUGAGGGUGUGUCUUACUCAGUCUUUUCUUCCAACAUCCUUUGUAUAAGGGAAGACGAGAGUUUUUAUUCAGACUUUAUUAAAUGAUUUUAAACUGGAUUUAUUAGCAGCCUUUUACAAGCAUCCUCGCUGCCUUGACAACCGAUGUAAGCCACGGACAGGUGGAGAGCUUGGAGGGUUAUGAUGACGGGGGGGAAAAAAAGCUGGAUGAAGGCUGAAUUUCUAAUGUAAAAUUAAGCAUAGUUGAAAAUAGUUCUGUAGCCUGAGACUAAGCACAAGUGUGUUUUGUUUUCCAGUCAGAGCUCCUGUAGUCAUUCAAAAUAAAAUUACUUGUUGGAGGUGUUUUUUCCCUACCCUCAGAUUCAAAAUGUCACACGUCUGUCUUCUGCAGGCAGCGGUGCCCGUUCCUAAAUGGCUUGGGAGUUUCUGGUAUCUCCCCAUGUAUCGAUAAGUACAUCGUUCACCCUCCCGGAUUUACAUAGCGGUACAAUCUGCCGUACGAUGCCUAACUACUGUGUAGUAGAUAUUCCGUCCGUCUUACCUCGUUACGCAACCAUAAGUUUGGAGUAAGACAGUUAGAUGGUGACAAACUCUAAGAUCUUAGUUUAAGAGGAGAGUCAUUUCCAUAGGUUGUUCUCUCCUUAAUGGUGGAUUGUUUUAGUUCCUCCUUGUAAACAGAUGAGCAUCAGCUGAUUUCUAGGGGGAAGAAGUCUAAUAGGGACCGGUAUCUGAGAGCACCCUCCAUGUAAAAUGGAGAGCAAUAGCUGGCGGGUGGCAAAUCACGAGACCUAUAGAUAUGAGCAAGCAACACACUUUGAUAAAUCCCACUCGAUCUUCAUGUCCUACAGUAACCAGAACUAAAUUAGUCUUUUAUCUCCUUGAACUAAAAUAACGUGGCUAUAGAUGGGGGCAGGAACAGUGAACUUUCUCACAACUGUUAGGACGUGCUUGAAGAAACAAAUGCACUACCUUUGUGGCGGAGUGCAAUGACAAAAAGUCAUCCUAUAGUCCCAUGUGUAGUGUGCUCUUUUGGGGCAGGGGGUCUACGGCCCCGAUCCUCAGCUAGUGUAAAUCAGGAAAACUGCAUCGAUGCCCAAGGGAGUCUGUCAAUAGACCUCUGUAGUGGUUCUAGCCUGACACAUGUGGGUAUUCGUACUGCAAGUCUCUGAAAGGGGGACUGUCUAACGGUAGCUGUGACAUACGUAUCAUUUGUUUGGUACGAUAAAAUGCCACCUGGGAGGGAGAGGAGGUGCUGGGUGUUUGUUUUGUUUUUAAAUCUUUUCUUUUCUCUAGAAAAGCGUCUCUCUACUUUUAAAUUGCAGAAUCCAAUCACGUACACGGUCACCUCGGGAGUGACUAAAAAUCACUGAGAGAAAGCACUUUCCUGUUGUACCGACUGGAUUUGUUUGUAACACAAGCUUGCCUUUUACUGCUGGUUGGGGUGAACAAGUAUUAGUACUUAGGAAAUUUUUGGUUUUUAUAUGUGCAAAGCUUGUUUCAACGGGCCUCUAAAAUUUGAUUACCGAGCCCUAAAUCCUUGAGUUUUCUAUAUUUAAUGUAUCAAUGUACAGAAGUAAAACCCAUUCAAAACUGUAGCCAUUAGAAGGUUGGUGAAUUCCACCAUUUUUAUUUGGGGUUUGUUCUGCUACUAAUGGACUUUAAUUUCCAAGCGUUUCAGCAAUGCACUGUUGGUUUUGGUUAGAAUGGGGCGGGAGGGGGAGAGACUAGUACAGGAGACCCGAGUAGCGAAACUUUGCUGUCUUUCUCCAAGAAGAGCUUCCCUUUAUACCUGUCUCUCUUAAAAGGAACAAAGUUCAGACCCUUUUCUUCUGGAAAACAGACAGUAGUAGACCAUUUUUAUUAUUAAAGCAGGAGUAAGGACAAGAAACAAUGUAAUAAAUACUGUCUAUUACUAAAACUUGGAUGUGCCCUUUAGUUAUGGGAGUUAAAUGGCAUAAACGACAAUCUCUAUUUUCAUUAACAAAGCAUUAUGGGGCGCAACCUCACAGGCAGCGAGCCAAAUUCUUGAUUGUUUCUUUGGUUGUUUUUCUCCCAGUCAGUCGUACUCAAGAGGAUGAAUGUUCACACUUGUACAAACAGUUUCUUCAUGUUGAGGAUGAAUAUAUAGAAAUAUCAUGUCAUAUUUAUAUGCAUGUAAAGAUAUUUUAUGCUAGAUGUUCCAGCUAGCUCAAUGAAGGUGUUGGAUCAUAUUAAAGAAGUUCUGUAUUAAAAUCAAAUGAGUUUGAUUCCCCAUAGUUUAAAUUCCAGGGUAUUACUAAUUAAGAGGUCUCUUGGUUUUUGGUACUGUUUCUCUCCCUCUGUGUGUGAAACUUGCAAGCUGCUAAUUGUGUUAGUACAUUCUAAGACAGUCUGUUCUCAAAGCAAUUCACAGAGAGAGAGAGACUCAAAGCAAUACUCUAACAACAGAAACAGCACCCAGAGACUCCCCGCCCUUUUGUUGUAUUAACAAUUGUGAUUAAAAUAGAGAUAGAGGAUGUAUGCGGAUGGACGCUUGGUGUGGCUAAUAACUGAAUGAUCAGGGAGGUGCCAGCCUAAGAAUCCACUGUCCAUCGGCUAAAGAAGGCGUCAAGUGGAAAUAACCAGAGGACCCCCGGAGGGCAGACUGGAAUCCACCCAACAGCCUCAAGAAUGGGAGAACCAAAGAACAAGAUAACAUCUAGCAGCACGGAGCCGUCAGGAAUGUGCCAUCUGCCGAUUGAUUCGGCAACAGCAUGAUGAAGCAAUUCCCAUAGACUGGCCUAGGAAGAAAUGCCUAUAAAAAGAGACUCUAAAAAGUGAGAACUUUGGGGUCUGAUUCUGCAAAGCAACUUCCAGGAGCGUCAGAUGAGCAUCUGACAAGGCCCUGCUCCUCCUCAUGUCCAGGCCACCUGGCCAGUGGCUUGGCAUGAGCAACUCUAAGGCUGGUAACUAUGAUAACAACCUUGCAGAACCUGUGAGAGAGAAUGAAUGUGUGAAUAAAUGAGAUUGAAUGGAAUGUUAUAGCUAUAACUGCUUACUAUGAUUCUUUCUGUAUUCACAAUAAAUGUGGCAUUUUGCCUUUUUCCCUUUUUCCCUUUAAUAAGAUCCUGCUGGUUUUUAUUUUAUUGGUAUAACAAAGUUUGAAUGUUCCUAGGAAAGCUCAGAUAUGCAUUGGUGUCUCCCAAACACUCACGAGCAUAAUGCUCAUAAGGAACAGUGGACUGUGCUGUAGGAAGCGCGUAUGUUCUCUAUGUACAAGCGUAGGGUGAAGGGGUUAUUCAGGUAAUUGUUGACCAAAUCUGCCUUUAAGUACUCCCAAACUAAUAUGUGCACAAUAGCGUCUUUUGCGAACGAUCUGGCUUUUUGCAGGCCCUGUGACUUGCCUAGGCAUGUAGAGAUUCCAUCUUGCGGCCAUGACGUUGCGCACGAGAGAGAUUCUAAAAGGCCCCGGAAACCCCUCCAUUGGGUCUUCAGCUGGCUCAGAAGAUGCCAAAGAGAUGCCUGAAAGGAACUGGAACAAAGGACAGUAACUACAGGGGUGAUCUAGACCAAGAAGGCGUCUAGUCUAUCAAAGAAGCUUAUCGGAACACCUCCGUGGGUGAGAUUUACUUUUGUUUCAUAAGCAGACAAUUUACACCGCUUACUAUUUUGUACAGAACAAACACUACAAGUGUCCUACUGUAUUAGGCUUAAAGUAAAUGCAGGUAAAAGUGUGUGUUUGACUUUAUGUGCACAGUUGUCAGAACCAAAUUAUACAAAAUUACUUGCUCUGGGUUAUAAAGCUUUAGAGGGUGGACAAAGGAGUUGAGUAAAUUCCUGGGGGAGCAGAGCACGGAGAAUUCAAUCAGAGUAGUGUUAAAUACUCUAAUAAUGUAGUAAUUGGGGUUUGGAGCCCACAGGGAGCUGGGCGCGCUUUCUAAGCUGUUUUCUGUCGGGGAUGCGGUUCCGACCCGGGUCAGUGUUGUAGCAGGUGCAACAAGACAGGGUAGUGAAGUCCCAAGCUGCCAAGGAAAAUGGGCUUGGGGUAGUCUCAGCACAGCGGGUGGCAGUCCCAAGGGCUGGGGGCAGUGGGGGUUGGGUCUGGUCUCUGACCCAACUUGUCACACUGCCUACCCUGACAACUGCUUUCCCUUUGAAGUUCCAUUCUGACUCUCAAUUUAAAGUGUGUGUGUGCGCGCGCGCGCGCCCACAGCCUCGUAAUCCAUGUUGGGGGGGGGUGUAAUGUACGUUCUGCUGUAACAGAUUUCAUAGGCUAGUGCAUUUCCUGUAUAAACGCACAAUGGGAAAGGUGUGAGUAGUACCGAUUAGAAGGUAUAGGAAGUAAAAUAUUGGGACUUGGCAUCAGUGGAAGAGGCUCAUUUAAUUUUUUUUGUAUGCACAAGAAAACCAUUCCUUACUCACUGUCUUGUGGGGGGAUUGUCAAACUCUGUUUUAAGAUUACACUGCUUUCAUACCCCAUAGCGGGCCUCUAGUCCAACCAGCCAGGCCUGCGUGUAGGGGAAAACUUCUUACAGGAAGUUUGGCCACUAGGGUCAUUGAUCAGUAACAUUACUGACCAUCUGGUUACUUUAUUUUCCUGGUGUGUGACUCACUUCUAGUCUGAUAAGUCAUUACUUUAACACCAAGGGGGUGGGGGAGAGCGGCAGUGUGUAAGGUUUCCAGUUCAUCUACGGGUGGAGGUAUUGGGAGACUCCUCUCCCCCUCCACGAAUGGGUGAGAGAGUUCAGUGUUCUCCUCGCAGUUGCCUCUAGCUGUACUGAGCUGGCGGAAAGUCUGGUGCAUGUGUCUUUUUUUGCAUAAUGAGGAAAUAGUGGCGUCACUGACCCGCCUGCUCCCCGAAAACAUGGCUUGUGAAAGGGGAAGUUUCACCUCUUCAUCUAAAGGGGGGGAAUACACCUCUGUGUUGGUCCCACUGUAAUCUAUUUGCGCAUCCUUCCCCCUCCCAUAUAUCACUGGCAUGCAACAGCAAGAACAGCGAUUGUGAGCAUGGCUGGGCCCUCCCAGACUGUAAAAUCAGAGGAUUGGGAGGCAGUGUUGGCAGCGGACCUCCGACUCCUCCCCUCACAGAUUUGUUUUUACAAUGCUUCUUACCUGUCAGUGGAGCAUGGCACUGCGUGCUGGUCUUUGCGCUCAAAAGCUCUCUCCUUGUUGACCCCCAAGAGCAACAUGCCUGUUUAGCAAAGAGGGUUUUCCAAAGCGAGCGAAGAGGCUUUUGCCCUUAUCUUGAAGCUCCUUGGACUGUGGGAGACUUGGUUGUACGCUAAGGAGGGCUAGAACACCGUCACUGUCUGAAGGGUAUGUGUUGAGGAAGAUGGCUUUAGUUUUGUACUUUGCCUUUCCCCAUUGCAAAUACUGAACAGUGUGAUGUGCUGUUUUUAUGACCUACAUAUUGAUAUGUCUGUUCCGCAAGGCUCAGCAAACAAACUAGGUGUGGAGGUGUUUCUUCAGGUGUUUAGUUUUUAAAAAAAAAAAAUGCCUGGAAUCGCUCAAGCACUUGACCUAGUUGUUUUGUACAAGGAUUCCAAUGUGUGUGGCACGCAGCAGUAGACAAUUAGAGUCCACUUACUUAUCAAUCUAGAGCUAAAUAUGGAUGUGAAAUGUGGCUGUAAAAGAUUUUAGGUGGGAGGGCCAAGGUGGUAGAUAAAGGAAUGAUCAUAGAAACAGUUAUUUAUUUCAGCCUACUGACGGUCAAUCCAGGCCACAUUUGGCAUACCGGUCCAAUGACCAAGGAAAUUGCCACUGUGAUACAUCUUCAGAGAUCUUGGUGUACGCCACCUUUUGUUUGUGUUUCAGGAGGUAGCCUUGGCAGUUGCACAUUGCUCCGACCGUGAAGCAUUUGCAGCCUCUUUCUAUGUUCCAGAUCUACUACCGGCUCCAUGAGGUUGCUUUUUCAGUCCUAAAAACACAGUACGUGUGUAUUGAGCAAAUUACCCAGAAAAUCUUGAGCAAUUAAAUCUCAAUGUCAACUGUACAUAUGAAUCUCUUGCUGUGUGAAAGAGGAGAGGUAACUUGUGUAUCUGUUGCAUGUUAGUAAAUCUGAGUGUACACAUACUUUGUAUGGUUAGGUUGGACACACAUGAGAUUUACUUACUAUGUAUGUGUAAUUGACAGCUAUUGAGUAAAUACCAGGUAGUAUACCGCUAAUCUAUAAACUAUCACACCAACAUUUUUAUACUUGGGUGCUGUGUUGUGUUCUUACAGAUAAAUCUACAUUAAAAUGUCAUGCAUGGAUAAUUGGGAUGGUUUUCAGAGAUAAGAGGGAGUUACUACAAUCUGAGUUGACUUUAAGACUGAUCCGCAUAAAGCGGAUAGCGUAGAUGGGACAUUUCAGAGUAGCAGCUGUGUUAGUCUAAGGUGCCACAAGUCCUCCUCCUUUUCUGUUUUGCCAAUACAGACUAAUCUACGUGAAAAAUCCAUGACAACUUAUUACAUUCAUUAGUUUAAACUGGUAGGUGAUGAACUGUUGAAAGAUACAGGGGUGGAGUAGUUUCAACUUAAACUACUUGAUCAACUUCUAUCCGAGUAGCAUGUUUGAUUGUAAAAGAUCUCCAUUGUGUAAAGGGACUCAACUUGAUAAACCAUCACAAAUGGAACUAUCAACCUGACCAAGACAGCAUAGUGUGAUCAACUACAUGGUUGUAAUUUUUGUAAAAUGAGCAUAAUCAUUUUAUCCUCUUAAUUGUUUAAUCAACUUGCUAUCACUUGAUUGAUACAAUUAUACCAUAGCAAAACUACAACCUAGUUAAUAAAGCUAUGCAGCAAUAGCGUGUAGUUAACUGUUUAGUGUACUACGAGAAAAGAAAUAGUUUAAUGACAUCUCAACCUAGGUCUUUUGCAUCAAUAACAAUGUAUAGUUUGUUUAAAUUUAAGAUUAUGAUCAGUUAGUUAACCAUGUUUCCCAUGUGGAUUGAGUUCACUGCUGUCAUCUAAAUACCAAGAUCUGUUACACAAUUUCUUAAGCAUGAUAGGUGGCAUAAGUAUCUAGACCAUAAUAUGAGAUGAAUGAGUGAUUAGGAAUCACUCAAACUACUAGUAUACAAAUAUUACCAUGACUCUGUUUUAGACUUCUUGUUGGUUACAUACUUUAAUUGUAGUUUGGAUAUGAAGUAAGGUUUGUAAGCUGACAAAUUGUUACUUUGCCAAGAUAGUUAUUAGGUUGAGUGUACAAUUAAUGUAAGGUAUCAAGUAUUUGAUAUCAGUUUAACACGCACAGGUCUUUAGUUUUAGUCUGGUCAUCAAACUAGUAAGAAUUUGAGUACAUGCACAAUAGCUGUGUGUAGUUAUUGUGCACUUAGUGAUAGUAAGGUUGAUACUUUUUCAAUUGAGUAGUGCACACUGUCAAUCCAAUAUCUAUUUAGGAAUAAUUGGGUUAGUGUGUAUCACUUGAUCUUUAGGCAAAACCCAAUUUAUCAACAAUGUGAUAAGAUUUUUGUUUAUUCAUUGUUAGAUUAACUGUCAGAUUAUUUGCUGAGAAGAUUUUUACUGUAAUCACAGAAAUAUUGGUAAUACUAAAAUCUGCUUAAAACAUACUAGUAUCAGUUGUUAAAAGGUCAAGUCAUGCAGAUUACUGAAUUCAAACCUGACUUGUUAAUCUGUUGGUUAGAAACUCAACCAUAGAUCUGACAUGCUCAGUUGUCAAUUUCAUAAAUCUCACUGAAUGGACAAGUAGCUGUAAAUUAACAGGGAAAUUGUACAUCACUCACAUUACUGGAGUAGAUCUGUAACAUUGAAUACUUAAGAUUUGUAACAAGGAUUUGUUUUCCACUGUACUAGAGUAGCAGCCGUGUUAGUCAGUCUCUACAGUGCCACAAGUACUCCUUUUCUUUUUAAAGGACUACUUAUGGCACCUUAGCUUAUGCUCAAAUAAAUUUGUAUCUGCAAAAAGAAGGGUUAAUCACCAAGGGGUUUAAAUAGAACAUUUCUUCUAGUUUGUUGAUAGCAGUCCAAGUUACUUUGACUACUGAAACUGCUAGGAGAUAUGGUACUUAAUGUACCAUACAAUCCAUCUGGUAGAUUUGACACCUAGAAGAGGAAAUCUAAGUUCCUAAUCCAUCAAGAAGAUUUGAGGAAUUAACUGCUUGCAUGAGUAGUUGACACAACUUAAGGUAGAAUGUAUUCAUCUACCUACUUUGAGCUGUACAUCUCUCGAUCUAUCCAUCCAUUGGAUCAGUUUGGGUGUUUGAGGUAGUCCCUGGUCAGCAAGUAUGUGAUGUGCUUAGGCAAAGAUCUACCAGUAACACACACACACACACACACACACACAGGUCAAAGUAAACAAAGUUAACAUGAACAUGUUCAUCUGUUUCCUUGACCAAGUUAGGUCUAACAACACUGGUUUAAACUACUUUUUCCUUUAACACACACGGUAAAGUUUCAUAACUAAACUUGUUCAAUGUCAGAAACUAGUUUGUUUGGUUACCUGAAAACUGCCUAAACACCAGGUUAUACUUAUCUCAAGUUGCUAGAUUAACUAUAAGGUAGAGCUAAGUUGGAAGUGUGGUUGUUUGCAGAGUUAGAUGUGUAGCUUAGUUUAAACACUUAGCUAGUUUUGUUAACUACAAAUGGAAAUAUGUUGUACAUAUAAACUAGUGUACAAGGUCUAGUUUAGAACAGACCUAAAGAUGUAGACACUGAACUGUACACUUUUGUAUAUAGUGUAUACCUUUGUUUACUCUGCACAGUAUUUGUCUACCAAGAUUUAAACAACUAAAAGGGUUGGAGUACUCAACAUUACAUGGUGUUUAAACACCAUUUGCACUUUGGGUACUCAAUAUGUACUCAGCAAGAUUAAUUUCUAUAACAGUUUGUCACUUAGAAUGAGUCUACUCUCUCCUAAAGUGAGUAUACUUGCUAGACUAAUACAUUGAGUAAACAGAACUUUACUGAUUUAGUCUACAACCUUUGUAAACUCUUGAGAUGUAAACUCCAAAGUGUAAAGUUUUGAAAAAUCUAGAAACACUCUAGAUUGAUUGAGUAGCAGCCGUGUUAGUCUGUAUUCGCAAAAAGGAAAGGAGUACUUGUGGCACCUGAGACUAACCAAUUUAUUUGAGCAUAAGCUUUCGUGAGCUACAGCUCACUAGAUUUAGUAAAACACUGCAGUACUCAUACUGCUGAUCAGUAAACACUAAUCAGCAUUAAUCAUUUACAUGCACAUUUAUACUGAAUUGUUAGUAAAUUUGAGUUUAAUACUCAACACCAAAUUCAACAGACUAUACAUGUUUAGGGUAUGGAUUAGUAAGAGAACUACUCUAAACAUUAGUAUUUACAUAAGUGUAAUCUCUGUACAGUAUUCACUACAGUGUAGACAAGUGAAACUGACAAAUUGAGUGUACUUUUUUACUUGUUUCUAGUGUACAACUCUAAACAGUUUAUUUCAGUCUCUCAGUGAUUGUAAGCACUAAAUCUUAGAGUAUGGUUUUGUUGAAAAAGUUUGUAUACAAAGUAUGAAUCCUAUUUAAACUGAAGAUGAAUCUCUCAGAAUGUACUACCCUCUGGAAAAACACAGACUAGAUCUAGUCAACCAAACUAUAGAUAUGGCUUGAGUUGUUUCAGACUGUUCCAUAACUUUGUAAUUAAAGUCUAACUAAGACUGUUCCGUAACUUUGACAAAUACAGUUGUCAAUCUAAACCCUAUAACAGUUUGUGACAGUCAAGUAAAGCAUUGAUAGUGAAAUAGACCAUUAGUUUGUUUCUAAAGUAAACCCUAUGUCAGUACUUUACAUGGGACAAAUUGUUUAAACACGUGAUUCAACAAUUACGGAGCACAAGGUUGAGUGUAUACACUGUUAAAGUUUUUCCUAAAGUAUGCUUUAUUAGUACUGUAGAGUUUAGGAAAGAACAGCAAGUAAACAGGGCAAAGUAACUGUUCAUAUCUUGUUUGCUUAUAAAGACUAAACUUGGAAAGUUAGUACUUUAGUUUAAGUGACAUUACCAAAUAGUUAAGUCUUCAAGUACUUGAAGACUUAACUAAGUCUACUGUACUUUAUACAAUGGAACCGUUGACCUAGUAUAGUGUAAACUGUUACUAUUGCUGACAAUCCAAACAAACAGUUAAAAGAAAGUAUGUGUACAGGCUAUUCAAGUACAUUACAAUAUUUAACAUGUAACUUUGGAAAAUGUUAGUUUAACAUCAUUCGUUAAGUUUCAACAACAUUAACUAAACAUUUCUAAAAGUUUCAAGGAGCAACAUUACAGUACAUAACCUAAAUAUGACAACUACUUGUUUAACAUUCAAGUUAUAUAGUUUAAAAUUUUGUAUGUUUCAAGUCACCUUAUAGAUGAAGGGCAACUUUGUUCACCAGCUACAAACAGUCAAACUUUAAGUACCUUUGAUAUGAAAACAAACGUAGUUGAAGUUACAGUUCAACUGUUCAAACUUUUAUAAAACUAAGUUCAACUGGUGUACUUUUACAGUUCAACUAAGUUUGUUUUGUUUAUUCAGUUUUGUUUAUUUGUUCGAACAUGAGUACCUGUGUAUGUACAAAGUAACGGUUACUUUAAUCAUGUAAAUGAACUCAGUGGUUUAACAGUUAAACCACUUUUAAGUUUGUUUGUGUAGCAGUGUAGUUAACUGAUUACUCAACCCAUGAACAAUGUGUAAACAUUGAGUUUAACAAUGUUAAUGUUUAUAAAGCUUGUUCAAGUUACUGUACAAGGAAAUAUACUCUAAAGCUUGUUCAGGUGUAAUUGUGUACAUUCUGAAAGUGAAGUACUUUGUGUCAAACAUCUGUGUUAAAAUCUAAGUAUGAAAACUAUUAACCUCACAAGUACUAGACGUAAGUCCAGAAGUACUUUACUUCAGUUCAUAUUUACAAAGUUGAGCUGAGUGAAAGUAAAAACAGUACUAACUGAGUGUUUCCAAACAGUUAGUACUGAGUACUUUUGAACUGGAAACUGUUACUUUUUCUUGUACUUAAACAAAAAGUUGGAAAAAAAUGAACAUCUUUUUAAACAGAGCAUUUUAACAAAUUUGAGAGUUAGUGUAUACAGUAUUUGUUUACAUUACUAAAUGUAACCUUUGUUGUAGUUUUCCACUUUACAUUUGUGUUACAGUACCAAGAGAUUAAGUAUUGGAAAGUGUUCAAACUAUUACCAUUUAUGUUCCACUUCGUUUACAACUUUAAAGUAGUUAUCAAACAGUGGAAAGAGUACUGUAAACACUGUAGUUUAACUUACAUCACUGUUUGAAAACUAAACAAACUACUAGUCAUGUGAAGAUUGACACUUGUCAUUAAGAAGAUCUGUUAAACUAAUGUCAUACAAAAGUUAAACUGUACUACAAAGUACAUUAGUUUGUUAAAUGGAACUAAACUACUCAAUUUGUACUUUCAAUUUACCACAUGCUGUUGCUGUUAGUUUACUGUAAGCUUUAUUCACUUAGUUGCCCUUUGAUCUGAAUACUGUAUUUAAUGGAAAAAAGUACUUAUGAUCUUUUGUAAGUACAAGAAACACUGAUCUUAGUACUAACACUGUUGAUCAAAUUAAUUGUAGAUCUUUAACGUCAUUUGAUCAACAGCUAAUGUCAUUCACUUGAAACUGAACAUUGAGAUCAAGGAAGCUGUUGUACAGCUUCAAGAUAAAGAUCUACAAUUUACUUGAACAUACAAUGCACUUUGAACAUUGAGAUCAAAGUAUAAAGUUGAGAAACAGAUGUUUGAGCUACUUGAAAUCUCUACAGUGCUGUAUUAGUCAUCUGAUUCAGUACUGAAUCUUCAAAACAAGAUAAAGUAGCUCAAACAGUAAUUUGAGCAACAUUCAAAUUAGUACUUAUAGUUCAAUAUUCAAGCUGGUGACAAGUUUUGUUUGACAGUACUAAGUGCUCAACAAAACAUUGAACUCUAGGGUAAAUAAACUUUUUGCUUUAGUUUAAAUGUCAAGGUUCCUUCCCCACUCAAUUGUAAAGCACAG